AAGUCGAACGGAAUCCAUGGUGUAGCAAUACACCGGAAGAUUUAGUGCCUAACGGGUGAGGAUCACGUGAGAAACCUGCCCCAGACUUUGGGAUAACAAUUGGAAACGAUUGCUAAUACCGAAUGACGUCGGAGAACCGCAUGGUUCACUGACGAAAGGAAAUCCGGUUUGGGAGGGUCUCGCGGCCUAUCAGCUUGUUGGUGGGGUAAUGGCCUACCAAGGCAACGACGGGUAGCUGGUCUGAGAGGAUGAUCAGCCACACUGGGACUGAGACACGGCCCAGACUCCUACGGGAGGCAGCAGUGGGGAAUCUUGCGCAAUGGGCGAAAGCCUGACGCAGCAACGCCGCGUGCGGGAUGAAGGCCUUCGGGCUGUAAACCGCUUUCAGCAGGAACGAAAAUGACGGUACCUGCAGAAGAAGGAGCGGCCAACUACGUGCCAGCAGCCGCGGUGACACGUAGGCUCCAAGCGUUGUCCGGAUUUAUUGGGCGUAAAGAGCUCGUAGGCGGUUUAGUAAGUCGGGUGUUAAAACUCUGGGCUCAACCCGGAGAGGCCAUCCGAUACUGCUGUGACUUGAGUUCAGGAGGGGAGCGGGGAAUUCCUAGUGUAGCGGUGAAAUGCGCAGAUAUUAGGAGGAACACCGGUGGCGAAGGCGCCGCUCUGGACUGAAACUGACGCUGAGGAGCGAAAGCAUGGGUAGCAAACAGGAUUAGAUACCCUGGUAGUCCAUGCCGUAAACGGUGGGCACUAGGUGUGGGUUCCAACUAACGGGAUCCGCGCCGUCGCUAACGCAUUAAGUGCCCCGCCUGGGGAGUACGGUCGCAAGACUAANACUCAAAGGAAUUGACGGGGGCCCGCACAAGCAGCGGAGCGUGUUGCUUAAUUCGAUG
rnacentral:rRNA from 1 species